CCUCGGGAGGCAGCAGUGGGGAAUCUUGCACAAUGGAGGAAACUCUGGUGCAGCGAUGCCGCGUGAGUGAAGAAGGCCUUUGGGUUGUAAAGCUCUUUCGUCGGGGAAGAAAAUGACUGUACCCGAAUAAGAAGGUCCGGCUAACUUCGUGCCAGCAGCCGCGGUAAUACGAAGGGACCUAGCGUAGUUCGGAAUUACUGGGCUUAAAGAGUUCGUAGGUGGUUGAAAAAGUUAGUGGUGAAAUCCCAGAGCUUAACUCUGGAACUGCCAUUAAAACUUUUCAGCUAGAGUAUGAUAGAGGAAAGCAGUAUUUCUAGUGUAGAGGUGAAAUUCGUAGAUAUUAGAAAGAAUACCAAUUGCGAAGGCAGCUUUCUGGAUCAUUACUGACACUGAGGAACGAAAGCAUGGGUAGCGAAGAGGAUUAGAUACCCUCGUAGUCCAUGCCGUAAACGAUGUGUGUUAGACGUUGGAAAUUUAUUUUCAGUGUCGCAGCGAAAGCGAUAAACACACCGCCUGGGGAGUACGACCGCAAGGUUAAAACUCAAAGGAAUUGACGG
rnacentral:rRNA from 1 species